UACGUAGGGUGCGAGCGUUAAUCGGAAUUACUGGGCGUAAAGCGUGCGUAGGCGGUUCGUUAAGUUCGUUGUGAAAGCCCCGGGCUCAACCUGGGAAUGGCAAUGGAAACUGGCGGGCUGGAGUAUGGCAGAGGGGGGUGGAAUUCCACGUGUAGCAGUGAAAUGCGUAGAUAUGCGGAGGAACACCGAUGGCGAAGGCAAUCCCCUGGGCCUGCACUGACGCUCAUGCACGAAAGCGUGGGGAGCAAACAGG
rnacentral:rRNA from 1 species